rnacentral:lncRNA from 1 species
GCCGAAGUCGAGGUUCCGGAAUAGCAGCUCCUGCCCUUCAUACGCAAAGUCCACCCCGUGCAGGCCGAGGAUGGGGGGGCUGAGGGGGGCGGGUUGGGGAAGGUGAAGCGCACGGUGUAUUCUCGGGGCCUUUUGAGCAGUUCCGGAGCUUCAGCCGCCUCCUCAUCCGUCGCCCGGCGUCGGCAUUUCUGCUGCUUCCUCGUUAGG